UUGAGCUGAAGUCAGACGCUUAACCAACUGAGCCACCCAGGCGCCCUUCUCUGCCAUCUUUCUUAACCUCUCUUUUAGGUUUUCCUUUUAUCUCUGCGGUGUGGUCAAGUAGAUUCCUUAGUUCUGUUUUCCAAAUCCACAAAAGUCUCCAUACCAUUUGCACAGAAUCCAGCGUUUAUCCCACACGUAGACUGUAUUUCCAUAAAGCAUUGUUUGGGGUCGCUUCUAUUUUGUCAUGUUUCACUGGCAGCCUCUGCUUUGCUUUCCUCUGCUCUUUGCUCAGCCUGGUUCUGGCCUUCCUGGGUUAGUCUUGGUGCCCUGUCUGUGCCAGUGCUGCUGCCCUUUGCUGGGCUUUGUCUCGAGCUGUGAGCUUCACGUCUGCUCAGGCCUGUAGCUGUUCUCUCCGUUCUUGGUCAAAGGAGAGUUCCUCUCGUUUUACUCUAUGCUUUGGCAUUGUAAAUAUCUCACUUGCCACUCGUAGGCACGAGGAGUCAAGGAGGCAGAUGUAGGUGCACUCACUCCUCCGGUUUGAGUGCAAGUCCCCAGGCAGGCUGACAGGGACUGUCACUGUCACUGUUUCCUCCUCCACUGAGAGAGCUUCUCGAGGCUUCCAUACUCGGUGCUGUGUUUUCAAUCUUCAACUCUGUCACAUUCCAAACGCUGGGAAGCCUUCAUCUCCAACCCCGAGGGUUUCCUGUGCCCAGAGUGGACUUUCAGAUCAGGUUUCCUCUCGGUUAGGAAGGCGCAAGGUCAGGCCCCAUAAUGGACAGAGACUCUUCGCAGACGCACUUGGGCCGGGUAACUGUUAAGAUCUGAAUUAUUUCCCGCGGACUUUAUGUAAAAUUGGUUUGAAGGAUCUGGUCUCCUCCUCCAUUGCCUGUUCUCGCCCUUGAGGUAUCUGUUAUUUGUACGUAUUUUUGCCAGUGAAAAACAAACAUGUUUUUCAGGGUGCUCCAUUUUGGAUGGGAAGCUUCAGUCCUGCUCCCCAGACUGGGAUGUCCCCCCUCUGCGAGCCCAUGAGUGCAGUGAUACAGAAAGGAUUCUGUGUGCCCUGGCCUGAAGCUGCCAACAGCCCUGGAUGAUCUGGAAGAACUCUUGAUAUUCAGGUAGGGGCCCAGCAGGCCCAGGGGACCUUCUCUGAGGACCCCAAAGCAAGCUUUCACCCAAAAUGAUUAACUCACCGGUUUUUGAGGUGUUGCAAACAUCUUCUCCCAGGUUGUCAUUUGUAUUUUAACCUUGAUGUUUUCCGUCAUACAUAAAACUUUCAAUAUUUCUUGGUAAUAAAAUCUGUUUAAUCUUUUCCCUUA